AUUAUUUUGUAGACUAUGGUUUAAUUUGCAGGAUUUUCGCAAUAUAUUUUGAUGGGUCCCGCAAGACAUUUAGGACUCUCUAGAAUAAAUAACACUGUCAACAAUACAGCACGAAUCAAAAGGAAAAGCACUUUUGGCUAGAAUCCUAAAAGUGCAAAUUAAGUUUGCAGUCAAUGAUAUUAUCACUGCACUGUAAUCUCUCUUGUCUCUGUUUCAGGCCUGCAGGGCCUGAAGAUCUGGAAUCUCCCACUCCAGAUUCCCCAGAUCAUAACACAGCACAGAGGUUUGUGAGUCUAGAAACAGACAGCGGCUUCAGCACUUCUGACCUGAGCCGUCCCCCUACAGGACUGUCUCACACACAGUGUAACACUGACCGUUUGUCCCCUUCUGAUGAUGUCAACAGCAUGUCAGCAUCUGAUAAUGAAGCAUCUCGCUCUGAUCUACAUACGGCUAUUUCUCUUACAACAUGGGCUGGAUGGCCCAAAAUGGGCGAGUCAGAACCAGAUCCACUGUCAGAAUACGUUCCAAAUAUGCAAGAGAACAACACUACCCAGAAUGCCCCUGCUGGACCACACAUCUCCGGAGAGACACCAGUGUGGGGUGAAGAUGGUGCCACUCUUCAUUCUGCUCCACUGCAAGAGCCCAGCCAAGAGGAGCAGUUUCUACAGAAACAGAGGCCUACUGCUGCCGAGAUGCCAACCAGAGACAAGCACUCUCGCUGCUCUUGUUCCAACAGUGAUGCUAUCAGUGCACUGCAGAGUGAGGUGUCCCGUCUGAAGAGGGUGCUGGAGGAGAGUCUGGGUCACCUGCCGCACCUGUGCAUGCGAAUGGACCACCUGAGCAACAUGUACACACAGGAGAAGAGACUGAGGAGCCGUCCCCGUCUGCGACACCAAAACAGACCACCUUCAAAAGGAACAGACAGUGGAGACUCAGACCACUCUGAUAGGCCUGCCUCUUUUAAAUCUGCCUCCAGUUACACUCACUCCAGAUCUCCCUCCAUCACACAACUACAUCACCUCAAAUACUCUUCCACAGCCUCCUUAGAGAGCCUGUCUCAGGACAUGUCUCAGUCUAGACCCAGAAGCAGCCAUCAGAGAGCGAGCGUUGGGCCAUCCUGUCCCGAUGGCAGUGUGAGCGCUGGGCCAAGCUGCUAUAGCAGUGACGUCAGCAUUGAACCGUUCAGAGACUACAGAAGAGCCAGUGUUGGACCAGCCAGGCGCAGCAGCAGCGUUAGCGUUGGGUCUGCCAGCAGUGGCAGCAGAACCAGUGCUAGGCCAGACACUGAUGGAAGUGAUGCCAGUUUUAGAUUAAAUGGUAAAAGAAGCCAAGCUGAAACUGGGUACAGACCACCAGGAGAAAAGCCUCCUCUUCAUAAACCUCUGCUUCAGACCAACUAUGGAUCCUGUAACAGCCUUCCACCAGGUUUUAAGGUGCAAGAUCAGCUGUCAGAUUCUGAAGUGUCCAGCAGGAGGAGGACCACCCAGUCAGAUUCAGCAAUACUGCCCAGUAAUGUCUACUUCCAGCGGACCUCGCCACUCCCCACCUCACCCUGCAGGAGCAGAGCGAGACCACGGAGACAAAGAGCCAGCAAGGAGGAGGCGAUAAACCGAACUCUGGAUAAAGCUCUGGAGGCGGCUAUGCUGAUGAAGCAGACCACAGACCGCAUGGCUAAAACUCUCUCUACAGAUCUGGCCAAGGCCCAGACCUACAGGAAGCUAAACGGUCUUCAUCCUGACCAGCCACGCCUGGACCAUAGCUCAUAUCACACACUGCAUUAACUGCUCUGUUUCUGUGUGUGCAUGUUCAAUAAUGGAAAUUCUUCAUGUACAUGUUUGUAACAGGGUUUUAUAAUUUUGAAUAAAUUAUUUUCAGUGUUCA
ensembl:lncRNA